CACAGAGGGAAAAGUUAGAAGUCGUCCAUCUAUUGAUUCACUCUCCAAUUAGCCACAAAACCGUGGCAGGCACAGGAAGAAUCAAGAAUCCUGAAUAUUGCCUUCAACAGUGGCAGAGGCCCGUGCAUUUAGCAGGGUCCUAUUACCACCAAGGGGUGAGGCAAUGGCGUUCCUCUGCAAGAACCACCAGAGGCAGUGUGGUCCAGCAUGUCUGUUUAUUGCAAAGCAUGCAUACUCCUUUAUACUCCAAGAAAAGGGGAAGCUAAAGAGGUAUCUCCUGAAGACCCCCCCCCCAACCAACAACAGCACUGCAAAAGGAUGGAAGGCUGGUCUCUCUGGUCUCUCCAAUCUGGCUAGCCUACCUUAACCAACACUCCCUGAAGAAUUCAAAUGAUGACUAGCACAAAAGAGUGAAGAAUCAAGUUUUGGGCCUGGCACGGUGGUGCAGUGGUUAAGGUCCUCGCCUUGCAUGCCCGGGAUCC